rnacentral:rRNA from 1 species
GGGUUGUGAGGUUAAGCGACUAAGCGUACACGGUGGAUGCCCUGGCAGUCAGAGGCGAUGAAGGACGUGCUAAUCUGCGAUAAGCGUCGGUAAGGUGAUAUGAACCGUUAUAACCGGCGAUUUCCGAAUGGGGAAACCCAGUGUGAUUCGUCACACUAUCAUUAACUGAAUCCAUAGGUUAAUGAGGCGAACCGGGGGAACUGAAACAUCUAAGUACCCCGAGGAAAAGAAAUCAACCGAGAUUCCCCCAGUAGCGGCGAGCGAACGGGGAGCAGCCCAGAGCCUGAAUCAGUGUGUGUGUUAGUGGAAGCGUCUGGAAAGGCGCGCGAUACAGGGUGACAGCCCCGUACACAAAAAUGCACAUGCUGUGAGCUCGAUGAGUAGGGCGGGACACGUGGUAUCCUGUCUGAAUAUGGGGGGACCAUCCUCCAAGGCUAAAUACUCCUGACUGACCGAUAGUGAACCAGUACCGUGAGGGAAAGGCGAAAAG